GAGACGCUGGCGGCGUGGAUUAGGCAUGCAAGUCGACGGUAUCAGUCCUUCGGGGGUGAGAGAGUGGCGAACUGGUGAGUAACACGUAGGUUAUCUACCUCAAGACGGGACAACCCAGGGAAACUUGGGCUAAUACCGGAUGUGAGCAACUUUUAGUGUUUGAAAGGUGGCGUAAGCUGUCGCUUGGGGAUGAGCCUGCGUCCUAUUAGUUAGUUGGUGAGGUAACGGCUCACCUAGGCAAUGAUAGGUAGGCGGCCUUAACGGGUGGUCGCCCACACUGGGAUUGAGAUACGGCCCAGACUCCUACGGGAGGCAGCAGUCGAGAAUAGUCUACAAUGGUCGGAAGACUGAUAGUGCGACGCCGCGUGAACGAUGAAUCCCUUCGGGGUGUAAAAGUUCUUUUAUAUGUGAGCAGUGCUUCUUAUAUUAACAGUAUGGGGAGAGAGAUAUUAGCAUAUGAAUAAGCAACGGCUAACUCCGUG
rnacentral:rRNA from 1 species